rnacentral:rRNA from 1 species
UACGUAGGCGGGAAAUUAAGUCAGUAGUGAAAUCCCACAGCUUAACUGUGGAACUGUUAUUGAUACUGGUUUUCUUGAAUAUAGUUGAGGUAGGCGGAAUGUGUAAUGUAGCGGUGAAAUGCUUAGAUAUUACGCAGAACACCGAUUGCGAAGGCAGCUUACUAAGCUAUGAUUGACGCUGAGGUACGAAAGCGUGGGGAGCGAACAGGAUUAGAUACCCUGGUAGUC